rnacentral:snRNA from 1 species
AUCGCUUCUCGGCCUUUUGGCUAAGAUCAAGUGUAAAAAUUAUUUUUAAAAUGGAGGGGUGCACCUGGGUGGCUCAGUCGGUUAAGCAUCCGACUUUGGCUCACAUCAUGAUCUCAUGGUUCGUGGGUUUGAGCCCUGCGUU